AGUGAGGUAGCUCAGAGGGUAGAGCACGAAGAAAGAGGUCAUGGUUUGUGACACAAACAGCAAGUCAUUUAAGGAGAUUACGUUGUCGUUGGUUCGAUUCCAACCCUCACUC
rnacentral:tRNA from 1 species